CCUUCCCCAAACUUCGACGGGGCGGCCGCGGCGGGGCUGCGAGCUUAGGAACGGCACGGCAUGGCGAACAGGAACAGCAAGGCGCUGAGCUGGUGACCCCGGCGGCGCCCAGCCCGGCUCUGUUACACCCCGACACCCCAUCCCACCGGCAGGGAGAGGGUCCGCAGAGCCCGCAGCAGGGUGCCGGACCCGAACCACCACCUGGACGCUGAACCCAAACAUCUCCUGGAUGGAGGCCCCAAACCUCCACGAGGAUGCCGGACCCAAACCAGUACCCGGGUGCUGAACCCAAAGCAUCGCCCGGGUGCUGGGACCACUUCUGAGCAGGACGGGCAGACGCAGCCGGCUGCGGAGGAGGGCUCGGCGCUCUGGCCUUGCUGCUGAGGCUGGCUCGGAGCAGCAGUUCGGGAGGUGACGUUCCCAUCUGCCGCAGGGAUCUGCACGGGUUAGGGAUGGAUGGUCCAAAUCUCACGUGGAAGGAGUGAAAUAAAGUUUUUCGCAAAGUGUC